GGUUACUAUCUCUCUCUGUGUAGGGUUAGGAUACUAUCUCUCUCUGUAGAGGGUUAGGAUACUAUCUCUCUGUAGGGGGUUAGGAUACUAUCUCUCUCUGUAGGGGGUUAGGAUACUAUCUCUCUCUGUAGAGGGUUAGGAUACUAUCUCUCUGUAGAGUGUUAGGAUACUAUCUCUCUGUAGAGGGUUGGGAUACUAUCUCUCUGUAGAGGGUUAGGAUACUAUCUCUCUGUAGAGGGUUAGGAUACUAUCUCUCUCUGUAGAGGGUUAGGAUACUAUCUCUCUCUGUAGAGGGUUAGGAUACUAUCUCUCUGUAGAGGGUUAGGAUACCAUCUCUCUGUAGGGGGUUAGGAUACUAUCUCUCUGUAGAGGGUUAGGAUACUAUCUCUCUCUGUAGAGGGUUAGGAUACUAUCUCUCUGUAGGGGGUUAGGAUACUAUCUCUCUGUAGAGGGUUAGGAUACUAUCUCUCUGUAGAGGGUUAGGAUACUAUCUCUCUGUAGAGGGUUAGGAUACUAUCUCUCUGUAGAGGGUUAGGAUACUCACUGAGGGAGAAGUGGACAGAGAGGUCCCCCGAUACCGUGCCAGAACACCAAACAUCAACAACCAUAAUGAUAAGGAUAAAGCCUAAAUUAAAGCCAGGGUUCAAGCUGGACACAUUGCCUUUGGAUGAGCUGUGAAGCAGAUUACGCUUUCUGUUUCUGAUAUUUUGACUUUGCAGAUGUUCUAUGUUAAUGUCAGCCAGUUUCAAAGUUUUUUUUUGCACGGUAAUGAUUGGCAUUGUAAAUAAUAAUGUCUUGUGGGUACUAAGUUAUUGGGCAUUCUGAAGAGGUAAUAUCAGCUGUUGGGAGUAUUUUUAAACCUGAAAUUCAGAGUAAAUGUGCAUGUUUCUGCUGUCUGUGGGAAGUCCUUCAACAUCAGCAGUUUGGAAGAUAAUGCAUCUGUAUGAACACAUUUGGUAUGUAGUGCUGUUAUUUGUUAAGUAGAGUUCUGUAAGGGGGUGAUGUGGGAUUUCACUGAAAGGUGUAACAUUUUUUACCUGCAUGAAAAAUAUCUGCUUUUAAUUUUUUUUAAAGUGAUGUUGCAAUUAAUGUUCAUUUUUUGAAAAUAUUAAUUUCUUUCUCUCUGCAUUGUUGGGAAGAGCCAUAAGCAUUUCUCUGUUAAGCAUGUGACAAAAUUAUAUUUUAUUUGAAGAGUGUUUGUCAUAGUAGCAAUUUUUUUUGACUUUUUGAAGAACCCCUUUCAUUCUCGGGGGUACACAGAAAAGGUACGGAUUAAA
ensembl:lncRNA